rnacentral:lncRNA from 1 species
AUAACACUGAAGCAAUUUCUAUUAUGGAAACCUUUUGGUGUUUUUACAUGUUUUUAUUGAUUUCACCAUAUAAUAAGGAUUGAAUAAUGAGUGUACUUUCCAUGUUUGUAUCAGACAUGUCUAUGUCUGGGUGAUGAGACAUUCAAUGACGUUUACUAGUUGAGUGUUGCUUUCGGACUGCGGUAAAAGCUUAAUCAUUUCCAAAAUCAAGGUAGUGUAAAUUAAGGUAAAAUUGAGGGGGAAAAAAACGAUGAAUAUCCAAAAUACCCACACAAACCCAUUCAGAAUGAAUUGCAGUCGUGUUCCUUGAGUUAAAACAAAAAUCACCGUGUUGCAAUUCAGAAGGGAUUCUUAAUAGCGACACUAUAGGAGCCAAGGGAUAACUUGCCACAGGUGUCUUACUCCUGCUGAUAAUGCCGAAGUGAAGCCAGAGAUCAAUAAGAGCUUUCUGACUCACCAUUUGAGAAAACUAGGUCAUUUAGCCCCUCACAUUGAGUGGGGUCCUAGCUUUUGUAGCUGCUAAAGCUCCUCAGUCUGCACAGCGAGGAGGCAGCAGCAACUUUCAGAGAUGUCUGGAGAUUACAGGGAGAUGCAGGGCCCUCGAAGAAGGACUUUUAUUAUUUUGAAGCCUGUCAGGGGAAAUGAGGCAACACAGUACUCGGCAGAACCGAGGCUCCCCGCCACUGAAUAAUGCAAGAAAUAGAUCUCUCUCCUACUGCCUGCAAAGCAGACUGAUCCUAAUCCUCUCUCCUGCAGACUCAGAAGCUCUCCGUGGAGACGAAGGCAACGGAGGAGAGUGAGAUGAGAAAGCCUGUGAAGUGUCAGGAGCCAGCUCAGAGCCUGAAACCUGCAGUUCACAGCAAAUCGCAACCCUCCUGCGACGAGAAGUACAGCGCAAAAAUAGAGAACAGAUACACUGUGAGUACCAGCUCAGAAAAACCUUCUAUCCAUUUUCUAACCACUUUAACCAGUUCAGGGUUGGCAGGGAGCUGGAGUCUAUCCCAGCAAGCAACAUGCACAAGGGUACACCCUGGACAGGACGCCAGUCCAUUGAAGGGCAGAUAAGACACAAGCACAUGGACACCAGUGCUAGCUUUUCCCAGAAGCCAAUUAACCUACCAGCCUGGGUUUGGACUGUGCAAGAAAACCUGGUUGCACACUUGCAGUAUGAAUUCUAUGCCUUUUCAAAA